rnacentral:lncRNA from 1 species
GGAAGGCUCUUCUGAGCUGUCUCUUCCCUGGCUGUCUCCAGUAAACCAGCCGGAAUAUGGUUUAUCUUGGUGUUGUCGCGGAGCCACCAGCUUCCUCUUCGUUCCCUGCUGCAAAGCUCCGUUCUUUCCCAGACUACCUUAGGCUUGAACUUCUCCACUCUGCUUUAAAUCAGUUCCCAUGGGGAGCACUUUGGAGUUCUCUAACCUAAUGGGUAGCUUCUUUUCCUGGGAAGAAUUCCUGAGGCACUGCUCUGGAGCUGCAGGCAAGGACAGUGGCCCACUUUUUGUGGAGUGACAUGUCUGCCUCUCAUGCAGGGCACUGGGUGGGGGAAAUCGCUUCGAAUCUUCAGAGCUUGUCUCUCCCAGUGUAGAACCUCUGCCCAAUGAGUCAACAGAGAUGAGGGCAGUGAGGCCCCAGUGUUCUGAGCCUGCCACACCCUGCAUACUAUGAGUUGGAGGAGGAAGGGAGUCCCAACCUUUCAGCUGCUUUUAUCUGGAGUAGAGCUUCUAAAGCACAAAGUUGGGGGGAAUGAGAAAUGCGGGCAGCCUUCCCCACCUCCCCCAGCCUGGGGAGAUACCGUAGCCCUGGACUGGGAGCUGGAGGGAGUGGAGCCCUGUCUUCUUGCCCACACCUACUUGGAGCAGAGCCUCUCUCACACCAAGCUGGGCAGGGAAGCAGGUUUUGGCUGAAGUGCCACAGACUCAGUCUUCUUAACAAGAUUUAGUAGAUUUUCUUGAGCCAGUUUUUCUCAAUUUGCUGUAAACCCUUAGGAAAA